CCUACGGGAGGCAGCAGUGGGGAAUAUUGCACAAUGGGGGAAACCCUGAUGCAGCGACGCCGCGUGAGUGAAGAAGUAUUUCGGUAUGUAAAGCUCUAUCAGCAGGGAAGAAGAAAGACGGUACCUGACUAAGAAGCCCCGGCUAACUACGUGCCAGCAGCCGCGGUAAUACGUAGGGGGCAAGCGUUAUCCGGAUUUACUGGGUGUAACGGGAGCGCAGACGGCAGUGCAAGUCUGGAGUGAAAGCCCGGGGCCCAACCCCGGAACUGCUCUGGAACCUGUGCGGCUAGAGUACUGGAGGGGCAGGCGGAAUGCGUAGUGUAGCGGUGAAAUGCGUAGAUAUUAGGAGGAACACCAGUGGCGAAGGCGGCCUGCUGGACAGUAACUGACGUUGAGGCUCGAAAGCGUGGGGAGCAAACAGGAUUAGAUACCCUUGUAGUC
rnacentral:rRNA from 1 species